rnacentral:tRNA from 1 species
GGAAGAGUGGGUGAGUGGCUUAAACCAUACGGUUGCUAACUGUACGACGGGGAAACCUGUCCGAGAGUUCGAAUCUCUCCUCUUCCGCCA